rnacentral:rRNA from 1 species
GACGAACGCUGGCGGCGUGCUUAACACAUGCAAGUCGAACGAAGAGCGAUGGAAGCUUGCUUCUAUCACUCUUAGUGGCGAACGGGUGAGUAACGCGUAAUCAACCUUCCCUUCAGAGGGGGACAACAGUUGGAAACGACUGCUAAUACCGCAUACGAUCUAAUCUCGGCAUCGAGGAAAGAUGAAAGGUGGCCUCUAUUUAUAAGCUAUCACUGAAGGAGGGGAUUGCGUCUGAUUAGCUAGUUGGAGGGGUAACGGCCCACCAAGGCGAUGAUCAGUAGCCGGUCUGAGAGGAUGAACGGCCACAUUGGGACUGAGACACGGCCCAGACUCCUACGGGAGGCAGCAGUGGGGAAUCUUCCGCAAGGGACGAAAGUCUGACGGAGCAACGCCGCGUGAGUGAUGACGGCCGUCGGGUUGUAAAGCUCUGUUAAUCGGGACGAAAGGCCUUCUUGCGAACAGUUAGAAGGAUUGACGGUACCGGAAUAGAAAGCCACGGCUAACUACGUG